CAAUAGCGUAUAUUAAAGUUGUUGCAGUUAGAACGCUCGUAGUCGGAUUUCGGGGCGGGCCGACCGGUCUGCCGAUGGGUACGCACUGGUCGGCGCGUCCUUCCUUCCGGAGACCGUGCCUACUCUUAACUGAGCGGGGGCGGGAGACGGAUCGUUUACUUUGAAAAAAUCAGAGUGUUUCAAGCAGGCAGCUCGCUCUUGCAUGGAUUAGCAUGGGAUAAUGAAAUAGGACUUUGGUGCUAUUUUGUUGGUUUCGAACACCGAAGUAAUGAUUAAAAGGGACAGUCAGGGGCACUCGUAUUCCGCCGAGAGAGGUGAAAUUCUCAGACCAGCGGAAGACGAACUACUGCGAAAGCAUUUGCCAGGGAAGUUUUCACUGA
rnacentral:rRNA from 1 species